AUACGACCCCCUGGUAGGUCAGGGGGUGGAAAGAUUUUAUCGGUGUGGGAUGACUGCGGCCUAUCAGCUUGUUGGUGGGGUAAUGGCCUACCAAGGCGUCGACGGGUAGCCGGCCUGAGAGGGUGAUCGGCCACAUUGGGACUGAGACACGGCCCAGACUCCUACGGGAGGCAGCAGUGGGGAAUAUUGCACAAUGGGCGCAAGCCUGAUGCAGCGACGCCGCGUGGGGGAUGACGGCCUUCGGGUUGUAAACUCCUUUCGACAGGGACGAAGCUUUUGUGACGGUACCUGUAGAAGAAGCACCGGCUAACUACGUGCCAGCAGCCGCGGUAAUACGUAGGGUGCGAGCGUUGUCCGGAAUUACUGGGCGUAAAGAGCUCGUAGGUGGUUUGUCGCGUCGUCUGUGAAAUCCCGGGGCUUAACUUCGGGCGUGCAGGCGAUACGGGCAUAACUUGAGUGCUGUAGGGGAGACUGGAAUUCCUGGUGUAGCGGUGAAAUGCGCAGAUAUCAGGAGGAACACCAAUGGCGAAGGCAGGUCUCUGGGCAGUAACUGACGCUGAGGAGCGAAAGCAUGGGUAGCGAACAGGAUUAGAUACCCUGGUAGUCCAUGCCGUAAACGGUGGNCGCUAGGUGUAGGGGACUUCCACGUCUUCUGUGCCGCAGCUAACGCAUUAAGCGCCCCGCCUGGGGAGUACGGCCGCAAGGCUAAAACUCAAAGGAAUUGACGGGGGCCCGCACAAGCGGCGGAGCAUGUGGAUUAAUUCGAUGCAACGCGAAGAACCUUACCUGGGCUUGACAUACACUAGAUCGCUGCAGAGAUGUAGCUUCCCUUGUGGCUGGUGUACAGGUGGUGCAUGGUUGUCGUCAGCUCGUGUCGUGAGAUGUUGGGUUAAGUCCCGCAACGAGCGCAACCCUUGUCUUAUGUUGCCAUCACGUGAUGGUGGGCACUCAUGAGAGACUGCCGGGGUUAACUCGGAGGAAGGUGGGGAUGACGUCAAAUCAUCAUGCCCCUUAUGUCCGAGGGCUUCACACAUGCUACAAUGGUCGGUACAGCGAGUUGCCACACCGUGAGGUGGAGCUAAUCUCUCAAAGCCGGCCUCAGUUCGGAUUGGGGUCUGCAACUCGACCCCAUGAAGUCGGAGUCGCUAGUAAUCGCAGAUCAGCAACGCUGCGGUGAAUACGUUCCCGGGC
rnacentral:rRNA from 1 species